rnacentral:rRNA from 1 species
UAGAGUUUGAUCCUGGCUCAGAUUGAACGCUGGCGGCAGGCUUAACACAUGCAAGUCGAGCGCGAAAGUUCCUUCGGGGACGAGUAGAGCGGCGGACGGGUGAGUAACGCGUGGGAAAUUGCCCAGUAGUGGGGGACAACUCGGGGAAACUCGAGCUAAUACCGCAUACGCCCUACGGGGGAAAGCGGGGGAUCUUCGGACCUCGCGCUAUUGGAUAUGCCCGCGUCGGAUUAGCUAGUUGGUGAGGUAAAGGCUCACCAAGGCGACGAUCCGUAGCUGGUCUGAGAGGAUGAUCAGCCACACUGGGACUGAGACACGGCCCAGACUCCUACGGGAGGCAGCAGUGGGGAAUAUUGGACAAUGGGGGCAACCCUGAUCCAGCCAUGCCGCGUGUGUGAAGAAGGCCUUAGGGUUGUAAAGCACUUUCAGUAGGGAGGAAGGCCUUAAAGUUAAUAGCUUUGAGGAUUGACGUUACCUACAGAAGAAGCACCGGCUAACCCCGUGCCAGCAGCCGCGGUAAUACGGAGGGUGCGAGCGUUAAUCGGAAUUACUGGGCGUAAAGCGCGCGUAGGCGGUUAGUUAAGCUGGAUG